UCCUUCUUAGCUCAGUUGGUAGAGCGCGUCACUAGUAUAUAUCUAAAUACUGCAUCUAAAAUGACGAGGUCAGUCGUUCAAGUCGGCUAGAAGGAA